UUGUACAUCACUUUUAGUAU
rnacentral:snRNA from 1 species